rnacentral:lncRNA from 1 species
AAGGCUGGGGGCUCUCCCUGCAGGCAGGACUGGGCCUGGAGGGCCUCCUCAUACUUCUGGAGCUGAGACCAGAAGCCCGGGUUCGGUUCUGCUACCGGGCGAGCGCUCUUCACCAUCUGCAAACAAGAAGUGUACUGAAUAACCCCAAGUCGCGCUAAUGGCCAGCAGGGGCCAAGGCGGGCCCAGCUGUAAGAGUGGGCCCCGCCCAACCCGGAAGUGCCUCUCUGCUUCCCUAAGCCCGCCCUCACGAGAGAGACCCGCCCCUCCCGGAAGUGCCUGUCCCAAUCCCGAAGCCGGCCCCGCCCGGAAAACUCGUCCCCGGAAGACACGCCCCUCUCGAAACACCGCCCCCCUAAAGGCCCGCCCACCUGGAAGGCCUUCGCCAGGCUGAGGCCGCGGUGCCGCAUGAGGUACGCGGUGCAGACGGCGGCCGAGCGGCUGCGGCCGUUCUUGCAGUAGACUAGGCAGGCGCCGCCGGCGCGCACCGCGGCCUCCAUGGCGGCGCACGUGGGCUCCAGGUGCGCCAGCAGGUCCUCAGCCGGGUCGUCGAACACGGGCACGCGCAGCUCUGCCACGCCGGGCGCGCGCGGGCCGGGCUGCUGGCGGGAGACGUUGACGCACAGCGUGACUCCCGCGCGCGCCAGCUGCUCCUCCGCGCCCGCGGCUCGCGCGCUCCCGAGGAAGAGUGAGGGCGCGACGCGCACCAACGGUGGAGGGAUGUUUCAGCAGCCCCUGAGAAGGAAGAGGAGGAAGCUGAGGGCCCGCUGAGGGCGCAGGACCUGAGGGAGUCCUACAUCCAGCUCGUCCAGGGUGUGCAGGAGUGGCAGGAUGGUUGCAUGUACCAGGGGGAGUUUGGGUUGAACAUGAAGCUUGGAUAUGGCAAAUUCUCUUGGCCCACAGGCGAGUCAUACCAUGGGCAGUUUUACCGGGACCACUGCCAUGGCCUGGGUACCUACAUGUGGCCAGAUGGCUCCAGUUUCACGGGCACAUUUUACCUCAGCCACCGAGAAGGCUACGGCACCAUGUACAUGAAGACACGGCUUUUCCAGGUGAGGGGGCUGCCAUGUGUUCAGCUGGGGUCGAAGUGGCUGUGUGUGUCUAAGCCACUGGACAAAAAGAUAUUUCGGUCCUGGGGAAGUUUAUUUGUUUAGCUACAAGUAGCUUUUUUACUUUUAAUGAUUAAAAUGGUACCAAUAAUAAGGAUAUAGACUGAAAAUAAAA